UCUCUCUCUCUCUCUCGCAGUCGUCACCGCCGCCAGCCAUCCUCCCCAUCGCCCCCUUACCCCCGUCAUCUCGCACUCACUCCACCCCUCUCACAGUCGCCGCCGCUAGCCAUCUCGUAGGAUGGAGACGCUGGCCAUCUCCAUCUCCUCUCUGUCGCCGUCUGAUCCAGAUGCGGCCGCAGUCUGCCGGCGCCGCAGGCGGAGGAGACGCGCCUAGGAGGAGCUUUCUUCAUCACACGCGGCAGCCGGCGUAGCUCUGCCUCCCACACUCCCAUCAUCUCCGUCACACCCGGUCACUGUACACGGAGGGGGAGGAGUGGUGGCCGGCAGAGAUCUGCCUCCUUCAUCCAGGUGGAGGCGUUCGGCGGCGGCCUGGCCGUGGCGUUUUAGUUGGCGGACCCGUACGGGGACUUCCGGGUGUCGAUGCAGGAGAUGGUGGCCGCACACGGGGCCGGCGGCUGGGGCUGGGGCUGGCUGGAGGAGAUGCUGGGGUGGUACCUGCGCGCCAAUGGCAAGGACACGCACGACACCAUCGUGACGGCCUUCGUCAACGUCAUCGUCUCUGUCGCCGACCCCGGCCGCGGCUCCUCCUGCUCGUCCCAGAUCUCGUCCUGCGCGUCCGUGGACGGGGAUCAGUAAACUAAUCUUACUUCCGUGGCAUGGUUAAUGUGGUGAGAGUGAACUUUGCCGAGCUAGCUAGCUAAUGAUGGCGGAGUGUGGUAGAUGAGUGAGAGGGCUGCGGCGUCGAGGUCCGAGGGGCGGCGAUGUGGGGAAAAGAUAAGGGAUGAGAGGCACGCGUGUGAGCAGGUGGAACAAUGCAAGCGCCUCAGUGACCCGUCAGUCUCCAACAAGGGUUUUGAACUGAAUGCUCAUCAGAUUACCCAGGUUUGGUUUUAUUGUAUGGGUGCUUUGUUCUUUAAUUUGCAGAACAUGUUUGAACAACGUUUCGGCCUUCACGUAUUAGUAUAGUACCCUAACUGUCGCAUAAAAGUGGAAGAAAGUAAGUGCAGUACCAUAUUAUAAGCACUGUCAAGUUAUCUGCAUUGCUCGUUUGGUUAUUGCUUUGAGAGAGUCAUUCUUCACGGAUUGCCCGGUACCAGCCAAUAUUAAACACCCUUGUGUAUCUGAAUUGUCGCACGGUUGUGCUAGAUAGUACUGCAUUGGAUGUUUAUGUUUGAUAAUUGAGUUGUACUUUUCAUACAUAUCUGUUGGUAGAGCCGUUCUUACUUCAUUCAAAGGCUUGAAAUGCUACCGUUGCAAUGUUCUCCACAAGAUAUAGAUAUUUUUUCUGAGGUCAAGUAGGCACAGGGAAGUAUUAGCAUCAAAUAGCCGGUGUGGCAUGUUGUAUGCAUGGAGGGUACACCAUCAAGAUGUCUAUAUGUUGCAAAAGCAAAGAUACAUAUCUUGCUUGGAGAGUUAUCUCUUCAGCUAUGCUUUAAAUUGGCGGGUUACUAGGACUUAAACCUCAAAUUGAAAAGACUCUCGGGACUACUAGGGCAACCUUUUGGUAUAAUGCAUGAACCAACUUGCCAAAAGCACCUUUAACUUGAACAAAUGUUUUUGACAGGAGCAAUUUUUUCUUCCUGUAACAGGAGAUUGGGUUAAUCUCCACCAUCAUCGACAGGGAGAAAUCAACGGAAUCAGUUGUUUUGUGACUGAUUCCAUCGCAUCUCUGGUGUACACGAUUUUGAUUUCUGAACAAUGUCAUUGUGUAGGUACUGUCCAAUUAAACGAAGUGUAUAACUCCAGCCGGCAACAGCGAGAUUAGGAAUUAGUAUUACGCAUUAGUUGCUGACGAUUUUGGUUAAGCUGAUCAAUCUUGUUGUCUGUUGGUGGUGGAGGUCAGGUCCGCCGUCAGCAGGGGUUGUUUUCCUGGGUUAUGAGCUGAUUGCUAGGGAGGUGUACACUAGAGGACAUGUUCACCACUGAUAAUUCAAUGGAGUGUGUAGACUGAUAUAGUACCUACUACCUACUCAAAGGAGGAAAGGUCUAAGUCCCAGGUGAAUCUGUGCUUCUUUUGAACCUUCUCUCUCUAGCAUAUCCCUUUGUUUCACCAAACUGUUGUAGUAUGGGGAUUAUCUUAACAAGAGCACUUUUAUUUUUGUCACAUAUUUAUAUGGGUAAAGUUUUCGCAGUUAAUAAGUUGUUCCAAAGAGUGCUUAGCCUGAUGCUUUGAAGAUCAAGUUUCAGCGUGGCUUACAAUGUUAGAUCAGUUUGAGUUUUUGUACCAAGUUGAAAGCCUAAUGCUCCAAAUGGUACAUUCUAAUUUUAUAACUAUCCCUUAUUUUCUUAAUCUGUAAAUGACAAACCACCCGUAUGCUCUCUAAAUUCAGGGUAAAACUGAACCUAAAUUCAGAUAUAUUUUGAUGUAAUCAUACAUUAGUUGCAACUAGAUUACAUGAGCAUAUCAGACUAUAUGGUCUCAUAGACCUUUAGAAGUUGUUGAUAUUCUCUAUUUUUGGCCACAUCAUUUCUGUAAAAAUAGUAGACUCAAGCUUGUACUGUCAAACAGAGUUGCUAUUGUAUUGAUGCCUUGGAAUGUUGUUAAAUCAAGUAAUGCAGCUGAAUUUGUCUGCUACAUGUUAAUCUUGCUCUUUGAUACUUGUUCACAAAUUGUUUACUUGAUGCUUGAUGGCAACUGCUAUUCUUACAAGACUAUCAAUCUGAGAUCAUAACUCAGAAAAAUGAGAUGUGCACAUAUGUUUAUAUUUUGAUUUACUAAUGGUUUCCUUGAUGUGAAUGUUUUCUUGCAUUAUCUGAUUUCUAAUCUGCAGUAAAUGUGACACAAGUUUAUCAUUUCUCAUUGUAUGGAGUGAACCGAGACAUCAACUAGCUGGACGUGGAAGUGUUGUUCCUGAAGGAGAAGUAUGAGGUUGUGCUUGACAAGAUCUCCAGGCUGGAGGAGAUGGCUUCUCUGUUCAUUUAUAUUCUCCUUGAAGCAUGAGAUGUCGGAUUCAGAGCAACAAGGCGACUAAAUGAUGGGGUUAUGGCAAGGAGGCACACAUAUGGAUGAUCGGUGAGGUCGCUAGAGCUUAUGAGAGGGGAAUGGAUUCUGUCGCCACGAUGUUGAAUGGGACGCGCACCACUUUUUUUGUACCUAUAUUAAAGUAUACUUGUGUGAUGAGCAGCUACAGCUUGUGUUUGCAAAUAUGUUCCUUUUUAGCUUUAACCAUUUUUUGUGAAGAGAAUAUUUUGUAAACCAGUGCAAACUUUGCCUAAAUUACCAUCCAUUUGGCAAAAUGUUAAAGCAGAUUA